ensembl:lncRNA
CAAAGGUAGGCUAUAGAAAAUAGACAUAAAGAUUACAAAUAACGAUUAAAUAAAAAUUUAUUAAAAUAAAAGAGAACAGCUCCAAAUGAAAGGUGGAUGAGUUAAUAAUAUGAUUUUGAGUUAAUAAUAUGCUCAAAUUUGAAAGGGAUACAGAUGAGUGCUUUGUAGAGGUAACACUUGUGAAAAUGCGGCAAGCAUAUUUAAAAACUAGUUCGCUCUUCUCAACAGCUAAUGGCAGUCUACUGUAGUGUCCUGCUGUGCUGCACUAGAGGUCAGUGAGCACUAGAUUGAGUAGCAGCGCUGGUGCUCACAGCUCUCGCCGGGUGCAGUGGCGCGCGCCUGUAAUCCAAGCUGCUGGGAGGCUGAGGCUGGCGGAUCGCUUGAGUUCAGGGGUUCUGGGCUGCAGUGGACUAUGUCGAUCGGGUGUCCGCGCUAAGUUCGGUAUCGAUAUGGUGCUCCUGGGGGAGCUCGGGACCACCAGGAGCACCAUAUCGAUACCGAACUUAGCGCGGACACCCGAUCGACAUAGUCCACUGCAGCCCAGAACCCCUGAACUCAAGCGAUCCGCCAGCCUCAGCCUCCCAGCAGCUUGGAUUACAGGCGCGCGCCACUGCACCCGGCGAGAGCUGUGAGCACCAGCGCUGCUACUCAAUCUAGUGCUCACUGACCUCUAGUGCAGCACAGCAGGACACUACAGUAGACUGCCAUUAGCUGUUUUCAAAUAUGAGCAUAUUAUUAACUCAAAAUCAUAUUAUUAACUCAUCCACCUUUCAUUUGGAGCAGUUCUCAUUUAUUUUAAUACAUUUUUAUUUAAUCGUUAUUUUUAAUCUUUCUAUCUAUUUUCUAUAGCCUACCUUUGUAUUUUCUACAAGCUUGAUUAUUAAAUUGUUUGUAUUAUGUGUGUUUGUGUAGUAUCUAAAUUACAUGUGUAAAACAGGAUAGCCGAACAUAAUAAUUUACUGUAUACAAUAAUAGACUUAUCUCACAAUUCAUCAAUGAAAGCCAGUUAUGUUAUUUACCAAGGGCUGAAAAGAAAGUGUUUAUGUGUGAAAUAUCUCGAAGGCCACUUAUGAGAUGAAACCCCCAAAAUUAAUUUGUGAGAGUAAUUGAGAUUAUCUCGAGUUAAUUCUGCAUCUAGCACAUCAUGGGUCAAUACAAGAAAACACUGAAUCACUUAACUUAGGCUCAAAAGGGCUGUAUUUUGUGUUCUUUUUGUUGUUGCUGUUUCUUUAUUAUGGUAAGACAGGUCCUCAGAGAAUAAGGCAAAUACACAAAGUCCUGCUAUGCUGCUCAGGCUGAACUUCAGCGCGCGUGUGUGUGCGGGUUGUAGUGGAUUUUUUUAAAUUUUUUUAUUUUAUCAUUUGAAAUAUGCUAAAGGCAUUGUAUAUAUCUCCAGUCACUCCUCAGGUCCAGCAGAACUGCCUUGUUUUACAUGUCAUUUAAUCUAGUUCAACACACACACACACACACACACACACAUCAAAUACACCUUUGCAUAAAGACAACAAAAUAUGCAAAAUACUUAUUUUCAAACACUUAACGUAGUAUUUGAAAUUAACCUAUUUUAAGUCCAUUAUGCAAUAUAAACAAGUCUCUUUCCAUAUCCUCACGUUGUUAUUAUUUAUUAACUAA